UCCGUAGGCGGGCGUCUAAGUCAGUGGUGAAAUCUUACAGCUCAACUGUAAAAUUGCCAUUGAUACUGGAUGUCUUGAAUUAGUGUGAAGUGGUUAGAAUGUGUAGUGUAGCGGUGAAAUGCAUAGAUAUUACACAGAAUACCAAUUGCGAAGGCAGAUCACUAACACUAUAUUGACGCUGAGGGACGAAAGCGUGGGGAGCGAACAGGAUUAGAUACCCUGGUAGUAC
rnacentral:rRNA from 1 species